UACGGAGGAUCCGAGCGUUAUCCGGAUUUAUUGGGUUUAAAGGGAGCGUAGGCGGAUGCUUAAGUCAGUUGUGAAAGUUUGCGGCUCAACCGUAAAAUUGCAGUUGAUACUGGGUGUCUUGAGUACAGUAGAGGCAGGCGGAAUUCGUGGUGUAGCGGUGAAAUGCUUAGAUAUCACGAAGAACUCCGAUUGCGAAGGCAGCUUGCUGGACUGUAACUGACGCUGAUGCUCGAAAGUGUGGGUAUCAAACAGG
rnacentral:rRNA from 1 species